AUCAAAAAUAACAAGAAAAAUAGAAAGUUAUAUACAUGGAUAGACAUGGGACUUCCUCCCAAGUGAGCUUGUUUUAAGUCACUAAGCUUGACUCUUACAGUGCUUAGUCAGAAAAAAGGUUGAAGAGAGGAACAGAGAAGUCCUCAUCUUCAGUGGUUGAAUUUUCAGUUCCUGAAACAUAUUCUGCAUCCUCUCUUGACAUAUGGUAGGAUGAGUACUCAUUUGAUUUUUCUUCAAAGUAAGCUUCUUUCUAAUCAGCAGAGUAUUCUUCUUCUUCUGAACCAGGCGCCUUUGACCAAUCCUCAAAUUCAAAACUGAGGUAGCCUUUAACCAUUUCUUGAAGUUCCAAGAUCGCAUGGUUCAGUCCUUCCAUCUUGUAAGAUAGCUCCCCAAUGGUAUCCUCUUGAGCUUUGUAUUCUAUCCUGUGUUCCAGAAGUUCUUCAGUAACAGAACCAAGUGUCAAGUGUUCUUCUUCAGUAGAGGGGUUAGUGGGCUGUUUAAGCACUCUUGGAGAAUAUGUCAGAGUAGGGGUUUCCUCCUCACUCAACAACUUGCUCUCUAGGCUUCUUUCCUCUAAGUGAACUCCUUUCUGAUCUUCUGGUGCAAACCAUUCUGUUGUGAAAUUUUUGUCCCCCUUGAUGGCUAGUGCAGUUUCCGUCUUCUCUGGGUCAAUACCAUUUGAAAACUUUUUAACUCUUUUUUCAAACAUCCAUAGUUGAUUUUUCAGCUUCAUCACUCUUGAAGAUAAUCCUUCUAUGACUCUGCUUUGCCAUUUAAAUUUUUUCUCAUCUCAUACCAGUCAUCUUCUGUAGGAUCUUCAGUCUGGGCUAGCCUUUCUGUUGCUCUCUUCUUGUGGUCAAAAGUCCUCUUCAGCUUGCUAAGUUGAGAAGUAUAGUUAACUCUUGGUGGGGUUCCAGCUUCUGUUUCUUCAUCAACAUCCAUAUCUUGAAUUCCUAAACACUGACCUCCUGUUGUUGAUUUCUUUGAAGCUUCUCUGAUGUCAAACUUCAUCUUGAUGCCUUUUUCAAGGUUCAGAUUAAUUUUUCCAUUCCUGACAUCUAUGACUGCUCCAGCUGAAGCUAAGAAUGGUCUACCUAGGAUCAGGGGAUCCUUGCCUUCUUCAUCUACGUCCAAUACCACAAAAUCUGUAGGUAUCUCAACAUUUCCAAUCUUGAUAGGCAUAUUUUCUAUUAGACCAUGAGGAUGUGCAACAGAACCGUCAGCUAAGAGUAAGGCUAAGUUGCAGAACUUGAAUUCCAUGAUCCCUAGCCUUUUAGCUGUAGAGAGAGGCAUAAGGCUAACAGAUGCUCCUAAAUCACAAAGGCACCUAUUGAAUGUCAAUGGUCCUAGAGAGCAUGGCAGAGCGAAUGAACCGGGAGCGUCAAGCUUUUCUUGGAUGACUUUCUUCUUGUAUGUUUCCUGAGUGGAGGCACUGCUAAUCAUCUCUAGAUUCUGAUCCUUCUUGAGUUUUUCAAUUUUGGACAUUUUUUCAGAAUGUUGAGUGUUCAGCAAAGGUGUGUGCUUUAUGGUCCAGAUGAAUUGCUGGGUGGGGUGGCAGGUGCAACAAUUUGAGUUGAAUCCCCCCCUUCUUGAAUUAUACUGUCCUCAGUAUUGAGAGUUUGAUUACUUGGUGGAGACUCAUCUUCUUGGUGGAUGGUGAUAGCAUUAGCAGUAGCAUAGUCCUUAGGAUUCUGGACUGCUUUUCCUGGUAGUUGCUGAGGAUGCUUCAGAGCAGAGAUUGAUGCAAAUUUUCUCUCCACAUAUUUGAUUUUUGAAUUCAGAGCUUCGAACUUGACAUUUUGAUCGUUGUAAGAACAAUCGAUCAUGUUAUGUGAUUCAUCUAUCUUCUUUUCAAAAGCCAUGGCUCCCGUAGCUUGUCCUUGGAUGAUCUGUUGAAUGAGUUGCUUAAUUUCAGGAUCUGGAGCUGAUGGGGCUUGUUGUUGUUGUUGAGUGAACCCUGGUGGAUUCUGCUGUUGGAAACCUCCAUUGAACUGUUGUUUAAGGACCUAAUCUUGGUUGUACUGAACAAAAGGCUUGGACUGAUUCUGUUGAGGUGGAUACACUUGAUGUUGGGGGUUAGCUACAUUAGUGCUUCUGUAGGAGAGGUUCGGGUUGGGAUUGUAGUUGUUGUAGCCCUAGUUGAACCCUCCUUGGUUCUGAAUGUAGCAUAGCUCUUCAGUUUGAUCAUUCCCCCCUUCUUGCAUUUGGAAGUGCUCUUCAUCAGUGAUGUAGUGUAUCUGCUUCUGCUGAGCCAGAAAUAGCUUGUCUAACUUUUCAUUCAGAGCCUUGAUAUCUUUGCUCUGUUUAUCCUCACUUCCUCCAGUUCCUCUCAUUGAGCAAUCAUAGUCUUCAUUGUAGCACCCAUCAGAUUGUGCUAGAUUUUUGACCAACUCCCAGCCUUCUUUUACAUCCUUGUUCAGGAAGUUUCCAUUGGAGGCGGUGUCAAAUAGCAUUCUGAUCUUUGGUAAGGCUUCUCUGUAUAGUAUGCUCAAUAAUGAAGCCUUUUUAAAACCGUGAUGGGGGCACUGAGUGGUGUAGCUUUUAAACCUCUCCCAAGCUUUACAGAAAGUUUCAUUGUUUUUCUUGUUGAAACCUGAGAUCUCGUUCCUCAAUCUAGCGCUGCGAGCGUUAGACAAGAACUUGGCAAGAAAAGAUUUCUUACAAUCGUCCCAUGAGGUGAUGGAGUCUGGGGGCAGAGUCUUCUCCUAGUGGUGUGCCUUGUCUCCCAAAGAGAAGGGAAAUAGCCAGAGCUUAAACAUAUCUUCAGUGACACCAUUGAUUUUGGUAAGGCCACAGAGCCUAUCAAAGCUGUCAAGAUGGUCCAGGGGGUCUUCCAUAGGUAAGCCAUGAAACUUGUUUCCUUGGAUCAUUGAGAUGAGACCACUCUUGAUCUCAAAGUUGUUGUUCUGAACUGGUGGUGGCACUAUCCCUUGUCUUUGGUGAUGAUUCCUUGGA
rnacentral:sRNA from 1 species